UGGGGAAUAUUGCACAAUGGGCGCAAGCCUGAUGCAGCCAUGCCGCGUGUGUGAAGAAGGCCUUCGGGUUGUAAAGCACUUUCAGCGGGGAGGAAGGCGGUGAGGUUAAUAACCUCAUCGAUUGACGUUACCCGCAGAAGAAGCACCGGCUAACUCCGUGCCAGCAGCCGCGGUAAUACGGAGGGUGCAAGCGUUAAUCGGAAUUACUGGGCGUAAAGCGCACGCAGGCGGUCGGUCAAGUCGGAUGUGAAAUCCCCGGGCUCAACCUGGGAAAUGCGGUCGAAACUGGCAGGCUAGAGUCUUGUAGAGGGGGGUAGAAUUCCAGGUGUAGCGAUGAAAUGCGUAGAGAUCUGGAGGAAUACCGGUGGCGAAGGCGGCCCACUGGACAAAGACUGACGCUCAGGUGCGAAAGCGUGGGGAGCAAACAGG
rnacentral:rRNA from 1 species